rnacentral:lncRNA from 1 species
ACCUAUCCUGAGAGUUUGUUUCUAUACCUUUUCGAUUGGUACUUCAUGACGUUUGCACCAUGCAACCGUGAUUCUAGGAUCCAGGUAAUUGAUCUUAGAUGUGCCUAGUGCCACGGUUUUCAAGUCCUCUUUUGUAUGCAUGUCUCGUUCCAUUUUCUCGAUCUUAGCACUCUGUUGAGCAAUCUUCUUCUCCCACCUGCAAUAAAACAUUCAAAGGACGUAAAUCUUCAAAACGAGAUAGAUAUCUAGGAGUCUUUUCAGAAGUAAGAAGGAAAAUUAUAUUACGCGUUUGGUUCUAAGCUUCUAAUCUUCUUUCCAUCAGAACCUUCCAAUGGUGGUUUUCCCUUUUUAGCCCAGUCAAGAUUAGUUUUGAGCUCUUUAAGACCCUCCUACAGAUUUAUCAAAAACAAACAAACGGAAGGCAUUAUAAAUGAAUCCAGAAGAAAAGCAGAGAAUUUCAAAAGGUAAUCAAGAGUUUAUAGGAGAUUUGUACCUUGAGUUCUUCUAUUCUCGCAGUCAAUUUUUCAAUUUGCGCACCAUGUGACUUUGAUACAGUACGCUGAUGAUUACAGAUUAUGGCAACCUGAAAGAAUGUGAACCAGUAUUUCAUGAAUCUGCCACAUGAGCUAUGCACCAAACAAGAAAUCACCAGGAGAAUGAACAAAUC